AUUUUCAUGAUUUCAGGCUUUCCACCAGAUUUUGGAACAUGGCUACAGGGAUUUGCUUCCAUUCAGACAUUAGGGCAUUAGU